UGGGUCAUCUUACCAGGCAGCAUUAGAGUCUAUUUAAUAAUCUAAUACUGUCAGGUAAAAGAUGGUCUU
rnacentral:pre_miRNA from 1 species